CUAAUACAUGCAAGUCGAGCGAACGGACGAGAAGCUUGCUUCUCUGAUGUUAGCGGCGGACGGGUGAGUAACACGUGGAUAACCUACCUAUAAGACUGGGAUAACUUCGGGAAACCGGAGCUAAUACCGGAUAAUAUUUUGAACCGCAUGGUUCAAAAGUGAAAGACGGUCUUGCUGUCACUUAUAGAUGGAUCCGCGCUGCAUUAGCUAGUUGGUAAGGUAACGGCUUACCAAGGCAACGAUGCAUAGCCGACCUGAGAGGGUGAUCGGCCACACUGGAACUGAGACACGGUCCAGACUCCUACGGGAGGCAGCAGUAGGGAAUCUUCCGCAAGUGGGCGAAAGCCUGACGGAGCAACGCCGCGUGAGUGAUGAAGGUCUUCGGAUCGUAAAACUCUGUUAUUAGGGAAGAACAUAUGUGUAAGUAACUGUGCACAUCUUGACGGUACCUAAUCAGAAAGCCACGGCUAACUACGUGCCAACAGCCGCGGUAAUACGUAGGUGGCAAGCGUUAUCCGGAAUUAUUGGGCGUAAAGCGCGCGUAGGCGGUUUUUUAAGUCUGAUGUGAAAGCCCACGGCUCAACCGUGGAGGGUCAUUGGAAACUGGAAAACUUGAGUGCAGAAGAGGAAAGUGGAAUUCCAUGUGUAGCGGUGAAAUGCGCAGAGAUAUGGAGGUACACCAGUGGCGAAGGCGACUUUCUGGUCUGUAACUGACGCUGAUGUGCGAA
rnacentral:rRNA from 1 species